GUCCCAGUGCAGCCUUCAGAGGAGGGUAUGGCUGGCUGGACCGUGGGGCUGACCUCACAUUUGACCAUUGGCAGCAUCAUCGCUUGAUGGCCUUAGGGAAGUGACUUUGUUAUAACAGUGACCUCGCUGCUCCCUGGGCCAGCACAGCAUGAACAGCUGUGCCCCAGCACAUCCUCCACCAUGAUGAUUGGCUUCACCACAACCCAGCAGCACUGCAGCCAGCAGCCAUGGACUGAACCUCUAAAACCAUAAGCCAGAACGAAAACUUCAACUUGCUGUGUCAGGUAUUUUGUCUCAGCCAUGAGAAUCUGGCUAACACAGAGAUGAUGAAAGCACUGACCCCUCAGAAAGAUGUCUUGGAAUUUUCUACAUGGACAACCAUGCUACCCACAGAUCACACCGUCUGCUUCUACACCUACACCGCCUGGGGAGCAGAGCUGUGACACCGAGUGGCCGUAACUGUGACAAACCACACGCCUGGUGCCAGCAGUGAUGGAUGGAAUGAUGAGCCAAAUUAAUAAAACAGAGAUCA